AUUGAACGCUGGCGGCAGGCCUAACACAUGCAAGUCGAACGGUAACAGGAAACAGCUUGCUGUUUCGCUGACGAGUGGCGGACGGGUGAGUAAUGUCUGGGAAACUGCCUGAUGGAGAGGGAUAACUACUGGAAACGGUAGCUAAUACCGCAUAACGUCGCAAGACCAAAGAGGGGGACCUUCGGGCAUCUUGCCAUCGGAUGUGCCCAGAGGGGAUUAGCUAGUAGGUGGGGUAACGGCUCACCUAGGCGACGAUACCUAGCUGGUCUGAGAGGAUGACCAGCCACACUGGAACUGAGACACGGUCCAGACUCCUACGGGAGGCAGCGGUGGGGAAUAUUGCACAAUGGGCGCAAGCCUGAUGCAGCCAUGUCGCGUGUAUGAAGAAGGCCUUCGGGUUGUAAAGUACUUUCAGCGGGGAGGAAGGGAGUAAAGUUAAUACCUUUGCUCAUUGACGUUACCCGCAGAAGAAGCACCGGCUAACUCCGUGCCAGCAGCCGCCGCCG
rnacentral:rRNA from 1 species